GAUGAACGCUGGCGGCGUGCCUAAUACAUGCAAGUCGAGCGAACGGACGCGAAUUUUGCUUCUCUGAUGUUAGCGGCGGACGUGUGAGUAACACGUGUAUCACCUACCUAUCUGUCUGGUAUCAUUUCGGGAAACUGGCGCUUAUCCCGUAUAAUCUUUUGAACCGCAUGGUUCAAAAGUGAAAGACGGUCUUUCUGUCACUUCUCGCUGCAUCUGCGCUGCAUUAGCUAGUUGUUAAGGUAACGGCUUACCACGGCAACGAUGCAUAGCCGACCUGAUAGGGUGAUCGGCCAUACUGGAACUGAGACACGGUCCAGACUACUACGGGAGGCAGCAGUAGGGAAUCUUACGCAAUGGGCGAAAGCCUGACGGAGCAACGCCGCGUGAGUGAUGAAGGUCUUCGGAUCGGAAAACUCUGUUAUUAGGGAAGAACAUAUGUGUAAGUAACUGUGCACAUCGUGACGGUACCUAAUCAGAAAGCCACGGCUAACUACGUG
rnacentral:rRNA from 1 species